rnacentral:rRNA from 1 species
CACAACGACUCUUGGCAACGGAGUGUCGGCUCUCGCAUCGAUGAAGAACGUAGCGAAAUGCGAUACUUGGUGUGAAUUGCAGAAUCCCGUGAACCAUCGAGUCUUUGAACGCAAGUUGCGCCCGAAGCCGUCAGGCCGAGGGCACGCCUGCCUGGGCGUCACGC